rnacentral:tRNA from 1 species
GGUCGGAUGGUGUAGUUGGUUAUCACGUCAGUCUAACACACUGAAGGUCUCCGGUUCAAACCCGGGUCUGAUCA